AUUGCACCCUCAGCCUUGUUGCAGGUGAUGCCUUCUAAACUGUUGAAUGCUUCUUCCAAGGCCUAUGUAAGGUGAAGAAAGUUAACAACGACAAGGUCCUUAUAUAUAUUCCGAGUGAUAAAGCAUAAAAGAUGGAAAAGGGAAGUUAUGCGUCAGGUUGCAGUUCACCUGGAGCAUCGACUAAUCUUACAGAUCAAAAUAGGUGGGAACAUUAAAAAAGCACGGAACAAACCUUUGCACGCCGAGCCAGGGAUGAAAGAAUACCAUCUCUCUCUACCAUGAAGGAUUCAUAUGAUUCAUCCCCUACCUGUAAAAUGAGUAAUCAUCUAUAUAGGUCCACAAUUUUUCCACUUUGCAACUGCUCCAUACAUGAUGUACUGACCUUGGGUGGGCUCAUUAUGAGGCUAGAGAGAAUUUGGCCAGAGAUAUUGGAACAAAGAUUCACUGAUGCCACCUUGUAAAUUUGUUCCCUUACAUCGGCAUUAAAUCCAGUUACUUCCAUGUAGCCUCCUCGUUUACCACAUUCUCCAUAGUAACCUAGCAGGACACAGAAAAAGCCUUACCAUGUGCCAAGAGAUGCACAAGGAAAAGGUCCGCAGACAAUAGAAGGAUUCAAUUACCUUUCGACACUGACUGGAACGAUACCAAAGGAAGAUCAUCAUCGGUGUAUCCCAUUGACCGUGCAAUCUUUUUGAAAGAGUGGAACUGCUUAUCCUCAACAUAUAUGUUUUCUUGGUAAACCUAGGGUAAAUGAAUAAACGAACAAGUACGCUUAGAAUACCCAUCAAAUUCAUAUGGUAUUUAGUAGCUUCUGCAAGAUUCUGGACUCACCUCAUCUGCAAGAAGAACAAGUCCUUCGUUCUUGCAGAAUUCAACAAUUUUCUUUUGGUUUUCCUCUGCAAGAACCUUGUGAAAGUAAAAGUGUUAGGUAACCACUCCACCGAAAAUUUCAUGAAAAAGACUUAAAAGAGUAUAUGUCGGUAAGUUAUCUGUCUGCCAUGGUCUAUCUAUGUAAGUAUGUACCACAGCAAUAAUAGCUUACUGACAUACAACUUCCUGAGUAUAUCACUGAUAAAGUCUUUUCGGAUUUUUUGCAGAUAAAAGUUUCAUCACUAAUAACCUGUCCAGUCGGGUUUCCCGGAUUUAUGACCACGAGCGCUCUGACGGUGAUACCCUUAGAUCGAGCCUCGUCUACUUGUUUUUUAAGCUCGUCAACCUCUAGCCCCCACCCUGUCUCUUCGUCAAGGAAAUAAGGAACCUGAAGCCAAAAAUAUUCCACAAAUUAAAUCAUCAAACAUGCAGAUCCAACACUUCAAAGCAUCAGAAGCAUUGUUGUAGAACAUACAAAAGAGCCACCAUGAAGCGCUAUUGAUGCAGAAUACAGCGGGUAUUGUGGAAGAGGGCAGAGAAUGCCAUCCUUCUCAGACCUUAUCAGUAACUGCAUCAUCAUGUGGACCUAGGUGAAAAAGAAACUGUGGAUUAGUGAUGACAAGCUCAAACGAUAUGUACAGUCAGGCAUUGACUUCUAACUGGAAGAAUCAAUGUCCUUAUUGCUAGUAAAAUGAUUCACUAAUGUUCAUAUUAACCCAGUAUAUAAUAUACAUACUGCUGGGCUUGCUCCAUCUGUAAGGAAGAUGUUAUCUCCACUAGCAUGGAAACCAUCACGGGCAGCAAUACCGGCAGCAAUUUCAUCGCGCAAACCUUUCACACCCUGAAAUAGACAGCUGCGUGAAUGGUCAAGAUCGGAACCAUAACAACAUUCUUCCAAUAGUAUGUAGAUACCUGACUAUGGCUAUAUGCCCCUGUCGCUCUUCCUGGGAUCUUCUCUAGAAUUUGCCAUGCUCUCUCUAUAGCAUCUGAACUGUAUGAAAACAUGUAUAUCAACAUUCCAAAAUGCAGUAAGCAAUAUGAGCAGUUAGGCUACUAGUUAUCACCAAAGUGGUCCACAACCUGGUGAAACAAAUCAGUUAAAAUUUGAAAACUGAAUUCACUAUUUUUUCGCAAACAUGUAAAACGAUUUUGGCAUCAUUUCAUUAAAAGAGAGGGAGAAAUAGUUCUACAAAACAGGCCUCUAAGAGAGGUAGAAGCCCGACAUCCAAAUACAAACACACACCGCUAUUCUCCUGGGAUGAUCAUGCACAACCCUAGGGCGCCAGCUCUGCACCAAGCCUGAGCCUCAUCUUGAAUUGCACAAAGCAGCCGGCUGACGUCUGGCAUUGAGCCAUUGACAGUACAGUCAUUUCAAUGUUUCCAGAGAAGCCCAGGCUGUGAGCAUGAUAAAAGAGGCAAUGCCCUUCCAACAGUGCUAGAAGUUGUUACCAAUGGAGGGAUCUGGACUACUGGGUCACACCCACAAAAGCGCCUCGUGACAAGGAGCAACCUACCAGCAGGUGCUGCAUGGACUCCGGCUAUUGAUCACAGUGCACACAUGCAGGGGAGUGCGGCAAACCUCGAAUAUUCGCUAUUAGCAUGCAUCUAAACUCAGGAUAUUGUAAGUUUGUAACAAUUCCUUUCUGGGAAAUUUCAAAUCAGUGUCAUAGCAAUGCAUAAUGAGGAAAGUAUCCUCCAGUCUGAGGAUAUGAUGUAGUUAUUGAUUGUAAAUCACAGAAUGUUCGGGUUUCUAAAAGGUGAACAGAUCACAUGGACUUUCAUAUUAUUAUUUUUUGUCAAAAAUGAGCUAAAACCCCGGCCUAUGGAUUUUCAUAACUGCCUUAGCUUAGCGCGUCACUCUAGAAAUUUAGUUCCCUUCAUCUUCCUUCAGUCAUUCAGUGUAUGCACUAGAAAAUAAGUGUCUAGGACAAAAGUCUACAGUAAGAUAGUGAAGAAAAUAAAAAGAACUUUUCCCCAAGCAAAGGGCAGGCUACAUAGCUAAAUGGGUAUGCAGAGCAGCUACUGUACUUCUUGCAGGCCAUGUUGCUAAGUUUACCGUAAAAUCAUCAGUUAUUAGUGUUGAGACAGCCUAUUGUUCGAAAAGACCGAUACAGUAACUUUGUCAGCUUAAGACUCAUGUAAAUUCACCUACCAUAUAAGAAUAUACUCCCUCCGUUCCUAAAUAUAAGUCUUUGAAGAGAUUUCACUAGGGGACUACAUACGGAGCAAAAUGAGUGAAUCUAUACUCUAAAAUAUGUCUAUAUACAUCCGUAUGUAGUUCCCCAGUAAAACCUCUAAAAAGACUUACUCCCUCCGUCCACAAAUAAGUGUACAUAUAGAUUUGCACUUAGUCAAACUUUUUAAAUUUUGACCAACUUUAUAGAAAAUAGUAGCAACAUAUAUGGCAUGAAAAUGAUAUAUUUGAAAACUUCAUGUAAAGACAAAUCUAUUGAUACUAAUUUGAUGUCAUAAAUGCUAGCACUUUUUUCAAUAAAGUUAGUCAAAGUUCAACUAGUUUGACUGACAGAAAAGGAAAAAGUACACUUAUUACCGGACGAAGGGAGUAUAUUUAGGAACGGAGGGAGUAGCAAAUAUUUAACACUAAUCUACUUAUACUCAUCCAAGUAUAGAGUGGUUUCCAACUUUCCAUACCUGUAUAGAGCAUGAGUCUCACUUUUGUCCAAGAGAGCUGGAUGAUCACAUAAAGAGAGGACCUGACAAAGGCAGUGAGCAAAUAAGCAAAAGUGGAACAAGCAUUCAUCACACAACUACAAUCCAAGGAGGACAAACUCACUUCUCUGAAAAAUGUCACAGGUUGUUGACCAAGGGAAUGAGGAUUUCCAAUGUUACAAUAGAGCAUCUGCAUCAAAUUAGAUAACCGAAGGUAAAUCUACCGAUAGAGUAAGUGUAGUGGAAAAACCUUCCAACAAGAGACAAGUUGAUGGAAUAACAAUCAAACCUCAUCAAAAGGAAGCGAUUCUGGAUUUUUGUGUAACUCUUGUUCUAAUUUCUGCAAGACAAAGAUACAAAUACCAUGAUUCAGGUUUCCAAACAAUCAUACUAGAAUUAAACAUAGGAACGAAGUAGCACAAAUAAGUAUAAAUUCUGCAGUUGAGUACGGCAGUAAGACUAAUUGGUACUCCGUAUUUGACAUCUGUAAAUAUACUCGGGACAACAACAAAAAACUGCUAAAUCUGAGGAAAACAUUCAACAUACCUGAGCAUGUGUAACAAUCUCUCCACGAACAGCGUAUUUGAACUCCAAGACCUAAAUAGAACAGACCAAAUCACAUCAAAAAAGAUAAUGCCAUGUGCCAGUAUGAACGCUAAAGCUUAAAAUUGUGCUAUUAGAAUCCCAUCGCUGCUGAGAAGUACACAUGCUAUUUAUGCCAAAUUAUACAGUACACAAGCAGAUUCGAGCUCCACUUUCACGCGUAUCAACAUCGAAUCACUGACUUUAGCAUCCUCUAGCAGACGUCGGAAAUUUGUCACUCCUAACGACCUAACCUAGGGCCUGAUUGCUCGUUUGACCACGAACCCAACAAGCAUAAAAGGAGUAGGUAAAAAGUUUAAGGUCGCACCUUGGGGUUGAUGGUGUCAAGUGACACUGGCGGCGUACCGGCGGCCGAAGUGGACAUGGCCCUCGCCAUGUAGGCCGCCAUCGCCGAAGGAGCAGAAGGGGAAGGUCGAGACAGCGCCGGUGCCGCAGCUGGAGCAGGAGACGGCGCGGCUGGUCUGGUGGCGCCGCGCAGGGAAGCGGACACCGCGCGGCGCGCCCUGUCGGUGACGAAGCGCCGCAUGGUGAGGAGGAGCGACUGCAAGCGGCGGCGGUGAUGCUUCGGGCGAUGCAGAGAUCGCGACGGCUAUUGCAGAGGGGGAUGCGGAGGUGGUCAGAGCACAACGCGACCCCUUUUUUUGGGGUCAGUUUUGCGUCCCCUGCAAGAAAGAAAUGAGACUACGCCGGUAAAUUCCUCGAAUAAAAAAAUUGCUUGGCCGGAAAGAAAAUACGGAGUAGUGUUUAAAUUUAGGGCGUGCUUGGAUGGGGUGUAUUUAAAUACAUCUGUAUUUAAAUUACAGGUCUAAAUUACACAGCUAGUACUGAUUCCUGCCUGAAACCAAAACGACAAAGGGAGACAUGUAUUAUUUACAGGCGUAUUGCUCGAGAAAACGGCGUUACAAAUAUGACAUUAUUCUUCUGGUUAUUUCCGAACCUUUUAGGGUCUGUUUGAUAUAAAAAAAUAAAUGGAAAUUUGGAUGUUACAAUUAUUGAUUUUUUACAUGAAUCGUUUUCUUUUGAAGAAAGAAUGGGAGAGAUCUAUUGCUCAAUAAUACCUCUCUCAUGAGCCGUCCGAUCUAGUUUUUUCGCAACCCUUGGAUACACACGUUGGAUGCCUCCUCACACGUACUUAGGAUCGGAACCUCAUGUACGCUCCUUUGUCGCUGCUCGAUUCACUUUUCUAUUUCCUUUCUCAACCCCUCACACGCACAUCACUUGUCUGCACACACGUACAACACGUCGCCGCCCCUUGUCAGUCAAUAGUCGUCCUCCGUGGCUUUCAUCUUCGCCACCUAUUGCAGUAUCGAUGUGCCCCAGUUGGAACAUCAUCGGUGUUGUUGCACGUCCGUCACAGCUUGCGACUCGUUGCGCACACAAUGGCUGCUCCUACAUCCCACUGUCGUAGCAUCAUCACGCGACCUUACAUCAUCAAUUGCAUGUUAUCGCAACAGUGUCGUCCUCGCCCCCCCCCCCCCUCACGGCAUUCGUCUGUCGUCACCGCAUCAGCCAGCAAUUUUGUUGCGAUCUUAGCACCCGGCGUUGCUGCUUGCGGCAAUUGACGUUCUUGGUUCCAACAUCUAGCAGUCAUGGUCUCCCUAGAUCGUAACAUCUCCAUACACCAGUCUCAGCGGUUGACAUGGCUGGUUUCAACAAUCCACUUCGUCGGUUGACGCCAUCGGUUCCAGCAUUCAGCGGGAGCGGUCUCCCUAGAUUGCACCAACCCUAUACGUCGGUCCCGACGAUUCACAUCGAUGGUUCUAGCAGUCCACCUCGCCGCCAACACCUCUCACGGUGUGAUCUUCCUGGAUUGCAACAUCCCUAUACGCCGAUCACAACGGUUGACAUCACUAGUUUGAACAAUCCACCUCAUCGGCCGCAACACCGGACGACCACAGUGACAACUCGUCGCCCUUUGUGUCGGUAGCACUUUGUCGCCCAUCCUUCCUCACACCUUAUCACCGACCCUUGGUUGUCUUGCGGCGUUGUCGGCCGCCGCCCCCACCCCAAGCUUCAUGUUGCUCGCAUCAUCGCCCACAUCAUAUAUGUGCCUCCCCCAAUCUAUGUCGCGGCCGCACCCCAUCGCGUGUGGCGGCACCACCAGUUGCAACGUCUCAAUGCGGGAUCAUAGUCGCAUGGGUGAGAUCAAAGGAGCGCGACGUGGUGACUUCUUUUCAUGGAGGAAAGAAGAAGGGGAAGGGGAUGGGGAGGUGAUCGAUGAUAUGUGUUUUUAAUUACAUGAUGGAUAUGUUGGGAGCUAGAAGACGACUUGUAGGGAGGAAAAAUAGUGGACCAGGACGUUUCGAGAGGAGAUAGGAUGAAAGAGCAGUGGUGGACCCUGCAUGGGAUGCAUGGAGGAAUCAUGCGCGGCUGACGUGACAUUUGGUUUGUCGACAAAUAUAUAUGCUUUACCAUUCUAUAGUGUUACUUUAUCAGAUCCAUGUUGGUGCAAUAUCUUAGCCCCCUUGUGUUUUGGAGAUUGCUGCCAGAAAUAGUCAUGGACUGAUUUGUUUGCCAGUGCACACAGAGAGAAAUUGUCCAUGGAGAUCCAAGAAGAAUGCUAUAUUUUGUCUUGAAGUUCGAAGAACUUCACCGAAGAUCAUUUGCACUGCAAAGAAGGAAGAGAUACUUUUCUAUAAGAGAUGACAACGAGAAGAUUGUGUGAAGAAAUUGACCCUUAAAAUUAUUGCUCACGUAAAGCAAUUUCCAUUCGGUGUAUCCGAAGAACAAUGUCUAUAGUCAAGAGGUUUGAAGGCGAAGCAAAGACAUAGCAUUUGUUUCGUACUUCUUCUUUCACUUUUGAGUGAUAGGACGGGUAUAGGUUCUCGAAACUUAGGAUUGAUGCGAUGCUUAGUCAAAAGCUAUGAAAGACUAAGAGAAAUCUAUUUGUGCUCCAGAUAAUUACUUGUCAGCCAGAGACGAUGGUCUUCUGUGUUGCAAGAGAUAUCUUCCGGAUAGAGGAGUUAACAUUACUUCCUCCAUAAGGAAUGUUACUGUUGUGCUCAAAAUCUGAUCGUUGAAAAUGUGUUUGUUGGCCAUUGGUUGGGCUUCAUGUCCUAAAUGGUCAUUUCCCAUCAAGGAAGGAUGCAACUAUAAAUAGACACCCCGCUCCAAUGUUGAUCGUUGGCUGCUUGGCUUCAGAAUGUAAGAAGAUUGAUUGAACACCCCUCUUGGGAGAUUUGAGUUUAAGAUCCACUAAGAGAAAAAUCAAGAGCCGAAACUUGGACAAUGGUUGAGCAUCACAGUAAAUUUGAGUUAGAAAUCUUGUACUUAUUACUCUUGAGAGCUGCAAACUCUCUAGACGGAUAGGUGUCGGCUUGAGUAUUUACAUGUUCACCAAGCAAAGUCUUCAACAACCAAUAGUAAUUGCGGUUUGCAAAGAAGUUUGUGAAGGUUUGUAGAUCAUCGACAAGUAAUACCUCGAGUGAAUUCAACUAAAGUUUGACCAUCUUCCAUUUGAAGGAGAAUAGGAGGAGAGAUGUUUUCUCGCGUGUUCAACCAAAAGUCCCUCCAACCAGACGUAGCUCUUUUGCAAAAGAGUGAACUGGUCUACCAAACCCCCUAUCUCCAUUGAGCACCACUGUUUCAUUAUAGCCCUACUGCAAUACCUUCAGUAGUUUACUUUCAGUGCUCUGUGUUGUGGAUGCUUUCCAUGAUCAUGUAUCGAUAGUAUAUGUAACACUCUGGAUUUUGCCCAUUCCUUUUUCUUUUGAUUUUGGUCUGGUUCUGCUUUUCUCUGGCCUCAUAGUUUUGGAACCUGAAGAUAUCACCCUUAAUUCUUCUUUCCUAGUGGCUUUCCAACCUCCAAACCCUCCCAAGACCUUGUCAUUUCAUCUUGAGCCAAUCCCAAAUAAUAUUUUGUUGGAAUUAUGCCCUAGAGGCAAUAAUAAAUAUAGUUAUUAUUAUAAUUCCUGUAUCAAGAUAAUCGUUUAUUAUCCAUGCUAUAAUUGUAUUGAAUGAAGACUCAUUUACAUGUGUGGAUACAUAGACAAAACACCGUCCCUAGCAUGCCUCUAGUUGGCUAGCCAGUUGAUCAAAGAUAGUCAGUGUCUUCUGAUUAUGAACAAGGUGUUGUUGCUUGAUAACUGGAUCACGUCAUUAGGAGAAUCACGUGAUGGACUAGACCCAAACUAAUAGACGUAGCAUGUUGAUCGUGUCAUUUUGUUGCUACUGUUUUCUACGUGUCAAGUAUUUAUUCCUAUGACCAUGAGAUCAUAUAACUCACUGACACCGGAGGAAUGCUUUGUGUGUAUCAAACGUCGCAACGUAACUGGGUGACUAUAAAGAUGCUCUACAGGUAUCUCCAAAGGUGUUAGUUGAGUUAGUAUGGAUCAAGACUGGGAUUUGUCACUCCGUGUGACGGAGAGGUAUCUCGGGGCCCACUCGGUAAUACAACAUCACACACAAGCCUUGCAAGCAAUGUGACUUAGUGUAAGUUGCGGGAUCUUGUAUUACGGAACGAGUAAAGAGACUUGCCGGUAAACGAGAUUGAAAUAGGUAUGCGGAUACUGACGAUCGAAUCUCGGGCAAGUAACAUACCGAAGGACAAAGGGAAUGACAUACGGGAUUAUACGAAUCCUUGGCACUGAGGUUCAAACGAUAAGAUCUUCGUAGAAUAUGUAGGAUCCAAUAUGGGCAUCCAGGUCCCGCUAUUGGAUAUUGACCGAGGAGUCUCUCGGGUCAUGUCUGCAUAGUUCUCGAACCCGCAGGGUCUGCACACUUAAGGUUCGACGUUGUUUUAUGCGUAUUUGAGUUAUAUGGUUGGUUACCGAAUGUUGUUCAGAGUCCCGGAUGAGAUCACGGACGUCACGAGGGUUUCCGGAAUGGUCCGGAAACGAAGAUUCAUAUAUAGGAUGACCUCAUUUGAUUACCGGAAGGUUUUCGGAGUUACCGGGAAUGUACCGGGAAUGACGAAUGGGUUCCGGGAGUUCACCGGGGGGGGCAACCCACCCCGGGGAAGCCCAUAGGCCUUGAGGGUGGCACACCAGCCCUUAGUGGUCUGGUGGGACAGCCCAAAAGGGCCCUAUGCGCCAAGAAGAGAAAAUCAAAGAGAAAAGAAAAAAAAAGGGAGGUGGGAAGGAAGGGAAGGACUCCCACCCACCAAACCAAGUCCAACUCGGUUUGGGGGGGGAGCCUUCCCCCCUUGGCUCGGCCGACCCCCUUGGGGCUCCUUGAGCCCCAAGGCAAGGCCCCCUCCCUCCCACCUAUAUAUACGGAGGUAUUAGGGCUGAUUUGAGACGACUUUUCCACGGCAGCCCGACCACAUACCUCCACGGUUUUUCCUCUAGAUCGCGUUUUUGCGGAGCUCGGGCGGAGCCCUACUGAGACAAGGUCAUCACCAACCUCCGGAGCGCCAUCACGCUGCCGGAGAACUCUUCUACCUCUCCGUCUCUCUUGCUGGAUCAAGAAGGCCGAGAUCAUCGUUGAGCUGUACGUGUGCUGAACGCGGAGGUGCCGUCCGUUCGGCACUAGAUCGUGGGACUGAUCGCGGGAUUGUUCGCGGGGCGGAUCGAGGGACGUGAGGACGUUCCACUACAUCAACUGCAUUCUCUAACGCUUCUGCUGUACGGUCUACAAGGGUACGUAGAUCACUCAUCCCCUCUCGUAGAUGGACAUCACCAUGAUAGGUCUUCGUGCGCGUAGGAAAUUUUUUGUUUCCCAUGCGACGUUCCCCAACAAUGAUAUCCACCAAGACACAUGCACGAUAUGGUGCACACCCUAAUAUGAUGCAUGUCGAGUUUAAAUUAUGCAAGGCAUGGCAUGGCAAUUCACAACAAUCAAACACUACACAUUAAGUGAAGCUCAAUAUGCAACCAGUUGCAUAUUGACGAAACUACAAUACGAAUUAUUUAGUUCACUCCCGAUUAGGUACAUGGAAAUAUUAAGUGUUGUUAAACAUGGCAAGGGGUUAAGCACAAAUAAUCUACCUAUCUAGGCAUUUUAAAUGAGGCCGGAAAUGACAUAUAGCAUCUCCAAACUAGCCACUUGUGUUAACUUCUAAAUCUGUCCAGAUUUUUCCUAAUCACAUUUUGUGUUUGUUAAACGGCAAAAAAAAGUGGUUCACGUCAUUAUACUCAUUAUUCUAGUCCAUUUACAUAUAUGGCUUGUCUCCAAUGGAGCUACGGUUAAAUAACUAUGAACUAAACCAUUUCUAACACGUCGACACGCAAACCAAUGCAAACAGCACGGCUAACAGUUUUAAAUAUGCAGGAGAGUUUGAACAUAUUAAUCUACGUGAAAUUCUAGCCAAGUUACAUAUAUAACUUGUGGCGAUCCGACUCACGGUUCAACAACUACGAGCAGUUCAAAAGUCAACAUGAAGAUAAACGUGUAGUUUUCUCAUGACUUCGAAAAAUUAGCACCUCGCAAAAAUUGGACGGCGGGGUUCCGGAUCUGGGUUGGGGUGUUUGGAUCCCUCGCUCGCUGGGUCCCCAAGACGGGGCCAUCUUGGCACAGUUAGUGACGGGGUCGUCCGAGGACGACGGCGGCCACGGUGGUGGUGGCCGGAAUCAGGGUAGACGGCGACGAGGUCGCGUGGAUAGCCGGAUUCGUGGCGAGCCGGCCCAGAUCUGGCCGGAGGCAGGGCAUGCAGGGACCUCCGGUGGCAGGGCAACGCGAGCAAGGCGGCGGCACCAUGGCAGGCAGGAUCUGGCGACGGGCAUCGUGCCGACAGGGUCAGGCGAUGCGGCGGCGGGCCGGUCGAGGCGGCGUGGUGUCUUGGCCGGCACGGAACUCCGGCGAGCUCCAGCGGAGGCAGAGUGUGGCAGCGGUAGGCGCUCCCGGGCGGCGCGACUAGGAGCGGGAGGCACGGGGCGCUGGGACGAGCGAGGCUCGUGGGCGGCAGCACGCGGGCUACCUCGGCCCGGUUUGGGCCUCGAUCGGGCUCACGAUGGGCCUCAGUGGGCUGCGGCAGUGGGGUUGGCAACUCGAGACGAGGUGGCAGCCUCCUGUUGGCCACAAGGGCGGUUGCCGGUGGCGCAGGAGGCGUCCGACCCUUCAAGCGGUGCCAAGUUGCGGUGGCUGGAAUGGUGGGGCGCGGAGCUCGAGGUGGGAGAAGGCUAGGGUUGCCCUUUUGGGCAGGGGGUCUAUAUAUAGAAGAUUUUGGUAGGUUAGGGGUUUUAGGGGUUUUUGCCUUGAUUUCGACCUUAUGAUCGAGAUCGGACAGUACUGGUCGCGGGGAUGGCUAGGUGGGCUUAGUGGCUGUGUAGAGGGGGGUGUUGGUCUGAGAUGAGAGGGAAGUUUGCGGCCCGACACAAGGUUCUUAGACACCGAAAAAACUUCCGACGAUAAACCGAUGACGGUGCCGCUGUGGUCGAUCGUUCGGGUAUCAAACGGACUCCGAUUGCGGCGAAAUUUGGGAGGCGGCCUACCUACAUUAAAAUAAGACCCUACGCCAAGUUUCGACCCAAUCUGGGAAUAUUUUAAGAACACUUUUUAAAACAUUAUUUUAAUGAUGUCGCGUGCGCGUGCGUGUGUGGUUGGUCCCAAAAUGGUCAACGGCAAAAAUGGAAAGAACGGGCAACUACUAUGGAUGCAAGUUUUGAAAAACUGACGACAACGGAGUACCGAUGUAAUGCGGAUCAUGCAAUGAUGAGUUCGUCAAACAAUUGAGUCGCACAGCGACAACGAAGUAAGAGGGAAUCUUCUCGAGCAUCGGUCUCGGGCUGUCACAACUCUCCUACACUAACAAGAGAUCUCUCCCUGAGAUCUAAGAAUGAAAGGGGAAGAUUAUGAGAAAGAAAGAGGUAAAACUUAGUUGCUUCUUUGACAAACGAGUUAAACCAUUGAAUCUUGAAAGUUGCACACAGAUGAAGAAUGACAUGAGAAGCAAGCAAGAAUUCAAACAAAAUUUUGGCAGCACUUCGGUAGGAAAGAGGGCAAAAUUUGACAAGAUGGAAAGAUCUUGAGAAGAUUCACAACAAACUAACUAAAUUGAACAAGCAAGGAGAGAACAUGAUCUAGACAGAACAAGAUGAUAGAUUGAAGAGAGCAACAUCACCACAACUCCAGAAUAAGAGAAUAGAAACUAGAUCAUUGGGAAGAAGGAAUGGAGAACAAAAAUUACAACUUGCACCACAAUUGAAUUUGACAAGCAGCCUUGCAAGAAGAAUUCAACAGAGUUGUUGGAACAAUGAAAAGAACAAGCUUGUAGUGGACUUAUGAAAACCAUCUCAACAAUGAGGUGAUCCACUAACAGAACCAAGGAUUGACUGGAUACAGCAAGAAAGGCAAAACUUCUUACACCAAGAUGAUACAUUGAGGACUUGGAUCAAUCAUAAUCACCAUAAUAGCAACAAACCCUAGGAAAAGAUUUAGGUGAAAUCUAAUCAAAGAUAACUCAAUGAAGAAACCAUGGGUCAAAAUAUUUUAUGAUCAAAGGAUUUGGUGGGUUUACAUAUUUAAUUCUUGAAACAACUUCUCUUCGAGACUCCUCCACUAACAAGAAUAAUAUAACACCACCUCAAAGGAUAAAGGAGGAAGAAUUGCACUUGAAAUGCACGAUAAGAAUACUUGAGGUACUACCACAAGAAUCUUGAAGAACACCUUGAGAAUGAGGAGAUAUUGAGCCGCCUAACAGAAAACUUCAAAAAGGCACUAGAAUAAUUGAGAUAUGAACAAAGAGACAACAAUUGAGAAGAAUUUGAGAUUGAAAGUUGAAAGCUGAGAACAAAGAAAUCAUUUGAAAUGAUGGACUUCGGAGGAUCAAGGAAAGAAACAACUCUGCAAAGCACCGGAUAGAUAUGGAAGGAAUUCUCAUGAUGGAAACAAUGGAGAAGAUAGCACGAAGCUAGAUGAAAAUAUUCAAAAGAGUGGAUAAGAUUCAAGAGAAACACUUCUUCGGUCUUCCAAACUGAAAAUGAUGAGGCGAACACCACCAAGAAUAACUAAGACACCCCGUAAUAAUGAAGAAUGGAAGGUUGAACCAAAGAUGAGAAUUAAUUUGAAGGAAUCUUGGAGAAGUAAUAUUACUGAUGAAAUUCAUACUUACGUCACAAUUGAAAAUAAUUAUAAAUCUCUCGGAAAAGAUUAGAAGAGCCACAUAAGAUCUUGGGAAAACCUGUGGGUUAUGGGCCCACUCAAAAGAAACACCGUUGAAAAGAUUGCUCAGAAAGAGAGCUACUACACCGGUAUAACUGAAACUUGAUGAGGUUGGGAACCUCGAAAUAAUUGAAAGGACUGGAAACAAGAAACUUCUGAGAUACCUUCAGCACUCCAGAUAGAAUAGAGAGGGAUGACAACAAGAAAGACUUGAUAAGGAUAUUAUGACACCAAAAUGUUGAAUUGACUCCACCAGAGAAUAAAACAAGAAUGAAAAUGAUGAACUCUGAACUCAUGAGAAUCUUCACAAAGAAUCAUCGGAUACCACAUAGAAGAGAAGAUAGCAGAAGCAACAUGAAAACAAAGUCACUUAGAUAACAAUUAAUAGCUGAACCAAAAAGGGCGGGAGGGCAGGAAAAAACAAAGACAACUUAGGACAGAUGAGACGAACUUUGGAAAGAAAUGAGAGAUUGAUCUUGCAAAUCUUGGAAAGGAUAGAAUUGACUUGAAGAGAAACACACCGGAUGAAAGAAUUGAUAAGACAACUUGAUUUAGAAAAAGAAUCAGCAUGACCAUAAAACUAUGAUAACACCUCUUGGAAAAGAUAUGAAAUCACCACUUGACAUCGAAGCAACUCAAAUUACCAUACUCCAACAAAACAACGGAUGAGUCUUACGAAACAAGCCGGAACAAAUUCAUGACAGAGAUUUCAUCCGAUAUUUUCGUGGAUAGGAUGGUGCAGGCUCUAUCCUACAGUAGCCAUCAUGUACAAGGCAGUGCACAUGACAUACGAAGCGUCCCCGAGUCGUACUAUGCUACAAGAACUCUUUAAGACACAACGAGAACCGCUGUAAGACGACCGUCAACAACAAAUCCACUAGAAGUCGAACCCCAACCUCACAUCAUGCAUCUGUUGGAAGAUUUUCCUAUAAGUAACUACUUGAAUUCCCACCUAAGAACUUCCGAAAAAUAUCUGGUCAUGCAAUCGGGUCCAUGGAUACAAGGAGUAAAAUCCAUCACUCAACUCCUAUCAAUAACACUACCCGUCGAGUGUAUCGCAUCCGUCAACACGUAACCAGAGAUCUCGAAAACUCAUAUAUCUCAAACCCUCGUAAUCACAACAAUACUAAGUAUGGCGGUACCCCCGAACUCUUUUUGCACCAUUACUGGGGGUGCCGGGCUUAUCUCGCCACUACUAGUAUUGAAGCAAUUUCGAACAUCAUCCGUCCUGAGAUACUAAGAAAUAUGAAUGAUAACGAUGUGCUCAAGAAUCCCUUGGAGCUCAACUCCCCAGAAUAAAAUAAACACAACAGGAGGCACCAAGUCAGAACUCCAUCACAUCGACAUCAUAUAGAUUCCAAAAAUAUCCACGUGAUCCUAAAAAAAUUUGAGUGAGAAGAGGAGUCGAAUUAAAAUUAUUACGUCAAGAUUCCUCACCAGAGCAUAGAAGAGGGGGAAAAAGAAUCCUACUCUCUGAUAUAUAACUAGAUUCAAAGUAAUGUUUCACUAGACAUGACUCAGCCAAGUUCGAUCAAUCAAGGGGGCUCCUAGGUCGGUACUGCUGUGAUACCAACUUGUAAGGCCCAAGAUGUGAUCCUAUCCUUAUUUUGGCUCGAGGGCCUCGACAGGGAUAGAAGCGCAUCUCCUUGUUUUGCAAGAAUGGAGAUUGUUACAAGUACAUGUACAUAAUAGAUGAGUAUAUGGAAUUUGCUUACACUCGCCACAAGCUACAUCAGAGUCACAUCAAUACAACAAAAUAAUCAGUCAACAUGAAGAAGAUUAGGGUCCGACUAUGGAGGAAAACCAAUGAUAAAAUAACGACGUCCAUCCUUGCUAUCCCAGGUUGUCGGCCUGGAACCCAUCCCAGAUCGAUGAAGAAGAAGAAAACUCUAAAUAGCACAAUCAAGGCGCUCACGUCAAAGUAACUCUUUACCUGUACCUACAACUGAUGUUGUAGUAAUCUAUGAGCCACAGGGACUCAGCAAUCUCAUUUCCAAAGGUAUCAAGACUAGCACAGCUUAAUGGGUGAGGUAUGGUUAAGUGGUGAGGCUGCACCAAGCGACUAAGCAUUUAUUUGAGGUGGCUAACUUAUGAGUACAAGAAUAAGAGGGGGAUGAUCUAAGCAUAAUCGGACGUGAACUAAUAAUGAUCAAACAAAUGAUCCUGGACACCUACUUACGUUAGACAUAACCCCACCGUGUCCUCGAACGUAGAAGGAGCUCACGAAAGAGACAGUCACGGUUACACACAAGUUGGCAUGUUUUAAUUAAGCUUACUUCAAGUUAUCAAGAACCGGAUGUUAAAUAAAGUUUGCAUGUUGCCACAUAACCGCGGGCACGGCUUUCCGAAAGAUUUAGCCCUGCAGGGGUGCUCCAACUAGUCCAUCACAAACUACCACACGCUGCGACGGAUAGACCUCGAUCAGGGAAACCCGUGAUUUCCCCGGGUUCCGGUUGGAAAACCUCAACCUCGAGAUAACCCAAAGCAUCCUCGGAAUCCCUCGCACAAGACGCUCGAGAAAGGUAAAACCAGUCCAGCAAGGCUGCCCGGCGUGUCGACAAUCCCGAUAGGAGUCGCGUAUCUCGUUCUCAGGACACGACGGAUGAGUGACGCGCAUAGUGGCCUGAUAGAAAUCUCUCGAGUUGCCCCGCAUUGGCACCACACAAUGAUCUAUUUUGGACUAGCACCAUCAGCACUCGCCCUCCCUAUAUUAUGUUGAAUUACUCCUCGGGUUCAUGACACCCUAUGUUUUUCAGUAUUAUCAGAAUUAUUAUGUUGGGAAAAUAUAGUACCAAUGUUGGGCCUUGCCAGACGAGAUUUAUCCCAAAACGAGAAUCUAGGGGGUCCCCAUAACAACCCAAGGCAUUUUAGGAGCGUUCAUUUAUGGAACAGAACACCGGUAGCCGAAACUAAGGCGGCAAAGGUGGAACGAAACACCAGGCUAGAAGGCCGAGCCUUCCACCUUUUACCAAGUAUAUAGGUGCAUUAAAUUAAAUAGAAAUUAAUAUGGUGAUAUAACAAGGAAUCCAUGUUUUCACAUGGAAGCAACUGUACCAACAACUAGCAACGCUAACAAAGGCUGAGCAAGCGGUAACAUAGACUAAUAGUGGUUUGCUGGGUUGUGGAAAUGUUAGAGGUUUUCAUGGCAAUGUUGGGAGGCUAACAUUUAACAGGUCGUAGGCAAUGAGACAUAGCGAAAGAAACAAGACAACUAGCAUGGCAAUGAUAGUAAUGGUAUCUAGGGAAAUGGUCAUCUUGCUUGUAAUCCCACUUGGAAGAAGAAGAACUCCGUGAAGCACACAAACCGAUGUAGUCGAACGGAUCCUCACAUUCCGACACGCUUGCGGAACUCUAGCGAGNNNNNNNNNNNNNNNNNNNNNNNNNNNNNNNNNNNNNNNNNNNNNNNNNNNNNNNNNNNNNNNNNNNNNNNNNNNNNNNNNNNNNNNNNNNNNNNNNNNNGACAGAGAGAGCUACAUGAAUUUUUUUUCUCGAGGUGAGUGAUGAAGUGGGAUGAAGGAAUAAGUGAGGGGCCCCCGAGGGGGCCACUAGAAACCUAGCCCCGCCACAAAGGCUGGCGCGCCCUGGUGUCUAGUGGCCACCUAGGUCACCGCCCUGCACUGUUUUUAGUGCCAGAAAUUGUCAAAUAUUCAGAAAAAAUCCGUGUAAAAAUUUCAUGUCAUUUGGAAUUUUUUUUUUNNNNNNNNNNNNNNNNNNNNNNUUUUUAUUGCACGGAAAAAAAUAUCAAAAAACAGGAUAAUCAUGACUUUUAUUGUAAUUAACUAAAAAUAAGAGGGAAAGAAAAGUGUGUAUAGAGAGUUGUGUGUUCUGAAUUCAUCGACCUCAUGCUUCUUGAAAAUGAUUCAUUAAUAAGGUUGAUUAAGUCUAAUUAACAACCACUUCCAAUUAGCAUGAUCCCAAAGAAUUUUCAUAAAGCACUAAGUUACCUCCAUGGGGAUGUGCAUAUCCCCAACAAUAAGUAUCUCAUAUUUAUUUUUGGCAGUAGGUAGAGGUAGUGAAACAUUCGUUGGUGCCAGUCGGAGAUUUUUCAACAACAUUAACACCAUUCACAUGAAAAGUGACCUUGCUUUUGUUAACAUCCCGUGCAGUAUUCAUGAAAGGUCUACCGAGGAUAAUUGACAUAUUGUCAUCAUCGGGCGUGUCAAGUAUAACAAAGUGUGUCAAUAUAGUAACAUUUGCAUCAACAACGGGUACACCCUCACAAGUAUCGGUAGGUAUGUGUGUUGAUUUGUCAGCCAUUUGCAAUGAAAUUUCUGUAGGUGUGAGUUUAUUCAAGUCAAGUCUUUUGUAUAAAGAAAAAAGCAUAACACUAACACCAGCUCCUAGAUCACAUAAAGCAGUUUUCACAUAGUUAUUUUUGAUGGAACAUGGUAUAGUUGGUAUUCCUACACGUCUUACAUCAUGACCAUAGAAGCAUAUUUUCCUACACGUCUUACAUCAUUGGUGAUUCUAAAUAGCAAGUCACUUAAGCGAGCAAUCAUAUCAGAGUUUUUUUCAAUUGUUUCAUGACAUAGGAGUUGAAAUGAUCUUGCUUUAUAAUAUAAUUAUCAAACUCAUAUAAACAUUGACUGGGAUGUUUAUUGUGAGGGAUGUCACCUUCAUCAAACUUUAAAAGAUAAUUUACCUCCACCACGUGGGGUCGUGUUUUGAGACCAUGGAUUACUUCAAUAGGUGGGAAAUCCUUGACAUCUUGAGCUUUAAUGCCCUUUUCCUUCACACAUUUCUUAGCCUCUUGCAUAGUUUCAGGACUAAUUUGGAGUAGGGUUAGGCGAUGGUUGAGGAAGUGUCCAUUCAUCAUAAUUUUUUAAUAUAUUAGUGUAACGCCCAAGAUGCGAUUCUAUCCUUAUUAGCUCGAGGGCCUCGACGGGUAUAGAAGCGCAUCUCGUCGUUUCGCAAGAAUGGAUAUCGUUACAAGUACAUGUACAUAAUAGAUGAGUAUAUGGAAUUGGCUUACACUCGCCACAAGCUACAUCAGAGUUGCAUCAAUACAACAACAUAAGCAGUCAUCAUGAAGAAGAGCAGGGUCUGACUGCGGACGAGAACAAACAAUAAAAGAAUGACGUCCAUCCUUGCUAUCCCAGGCUGCGGGCGUGGAACCCAUCCUAGAUCAAUGAAGAAGAAGAAGAAACCUCCAAAUAGCACAAUCAGCGCACUCACGUCAAAGUAACUAUUUAACUGUACCUACAGCUGGUGUUGUAGAAAUAUGUGAGCCACACGGACUCAGCAAUCUCAUUUCCAAAGGUAUCAACACUAGCAGAGCAUAAUGGGUGAGGUAUGGUUAAGUGGUGAGGCUGCAAGAAGCGAAUAAGCAUUUAUUUGAGGUGGCUAACUUACGAGUACAAGAAUAAGUGGGGGAUGAUCUACGCAUAAUCAGCCAUGAACUAAUAAUGAUCAAACGAAUGAUCCUGGACACCUACUUACGUCAGACAUAACCCCACCAUGUCCUCGGUCGGAGAAGGAGCUCAUGAAAGAGACUGUCACGGUUACACACUCAGUUGGCAUGUUUUAAUUAAGCUUACUUCAAAUUAUCUAGAACCGGAUGUUAAACAAAGUUUCCACGUUACCACAUAACCGCGAGCUCGACUUUCCGAAAGAUUUAACCCUGCACGGGUGCUCAACCUAUUCCAUCACAAAGUACCACACGCUACGACGGAAUGACCUCGAUCAGGGAAACCCGUGAUCUCCCUGGGUUCUUAUUGGAAAAUCUCAACCCCAAGAUAACCCAAGGAUUCUCGGAAUCCCUCGCACAACACGCUCGAGAAAGGUAAAACAAGUCAAGCAAGGCCUCCCGGCGUGUCGACAAUCCUGAUAAGAGCCGUGUAUCUCGUUCUGAGGACACGACGGAUGAGCGACGCGUACAGUGACCUCAUAGAAAUCUCCCGAGUUGCCCCGGGUUGGCCCCGCACAGUGCUCUAUUUUCGACCAGCACCAUUAGCACUGGCCCUCUCUAUAUUAUGUUGAAUUACUCCUCGGGUUCAUGACGCCCUAUGUUUUUCAGUAUUAUCAAAAUUAUUAUGUCGGGCGAAUAUAGUACCAAUGUUGGGCCUUGCCAGACGAUCUUUAUCCCAAAACAAGAAUCUAAGGGGUCCCCAUAACAACCCCAAGCAUGUUAGGAGCGCUCAUUGAUGUAACAUAACACCGGUAGCCGAAACUAAGGCGACAAAGGUGGAACAAAACACUAGGCUAGAAGGUCGAGCCUUCCACCUUUUACCGAGUAUGAAGGUGCAUUAAAUUAAAUAGCAAUUAAUGUGGUGAUAUAACAAGGAACCCAUGUUUUCACAUGGAAGCAAUUGUACCUGCAACUAGCAACGCUAACAAAGGCUGAGUAAGUGGUAACAUACCAAAACAGUGGUUUGCUCGGUUGUGGAAAGGUUAGAGGUUUUCAUGGCAAUGUUGGGAGGCUGCCAUUUAACAGGUGGUAGGCAACAAGACAUAGCAAAAGAAACGAGACAACUAGCAUGGCAAUGAUAGUAAAUAUAUCUACGGAAAUGGUCAUCUUGCUUGUAACCCCGCUUGGAAGAAGAAAGACUCCAUGAAGCAGACGAACCAACAUAGUCGAACGGAUCCUCACAUUCUGACACGCUUGCGGAACUCUAGCGAGACGAAGCAAACCGUAAACAAGAAUCAACACAUGAUUGUUGGAAAUAUGCCCUAGAGGCAAUAAUAAAUUAGUUAUUAUUAUAUUUCUUAGUUCAUGAUAAUCGUUUAUUAUCCAUGCUAUAAUUGUAUUGAUUGGAAACACAAUACUUGUGUGGAUACAUAGACAAAACACUGUCCCUAGUAAGCCUCUAGUUGACUAGCUCGUUGAUCAAAGAUGGUCAAGGUUUCCUGGCCAUAGGCAAGUGUUGUCACUUGAUAACGGGAUCACAUCAUUAGGAGAAUCAUGUGAUGGACUAGACCCAAACUAAUAGAUGUAGCAUGUUGAUCAUGUCAUUUUGUUGCUACUGUUUUCUGCGUGUCAAGUAUUUGUUCCUAUGACCAUGAGAUCAUAUAACUCAUUGACACCGGAGGAAUGCUUUGUGUGUAUCAAACGUCGCAACGUAACUGGGUGACUAUAAAGAUGCUCUACAGGUAUCUCCGAAGGUGUUAGUUGAGUUAGUAUGGAUCAAGACUGGGAUUUGUCACUCCGUGUGACGGAGAGGUAUCUCGGGGCCCACUCGGUAAUACAACAUCACACACAAGCCUUGCAAGCAAUGUGACUUAGUGUAAGUUGCGGGAUCUUGUAUUACGGAACGAGUAAAGAGACUUGCCGGUAAACGAGAUUGAAAUAGGUAUGCGGAUACUGACGAUCGAAUCUCGGGCAAGUAACAUACCGAAGGACAAAGGGAAUGACAUACGGGAUUAUAUGAAUCCUUGGCACUGAGGUUCAAACGAUAAGAUCUUCAUAGAAUAUGUAGGAUCCAAUAUGGGCAUCCAGGUCCCGCUAUUGGAUAUUGACCGAGGAGUCUCUCGGGUCAUGUCUGCAUAGUUCUCGAACCCGCAGGGUCUGCACACUUAAGGUUCGACGUUGUUUUAUGCGUAUUUGAGUUAUAUGGUUGGUUACCGAAUGUUGUUCGGAGUCCCGGAUGAGAUCACGGACGUCACGAGGGUUUUCGGAAUGUUCCGGAAACGAAGAUUGAUAUAUAGGAUGACCUCAUUUGAUUACCGGAAGGUUUUCGGAGUUACCCGGAAUGUACCGGGAAUGACGAAUGGGUUCCGGGAGUUCACCGGGGGGGCAACCCACCCCGGGGAAGCCCAUAGGCCUUGAGGGUGGCAAACCGGCCCUUAGUGGGCUGGUGGGACAGCCCAAAAGGGCCCUAUGCGCUAAGAAGAGAAAAUCAAAGAGAAAAGAAAAAAAAAGGAGGUGGGAAGGAAGGGAAGGACUCCCACCCACCAAACCAAGUCCAACUCGGUUUGGGGGGGAGCCUUCCCCCCUUAGCUCGGCCGACCCCCUUGGGGCUCCUUGAGCCCCAAGGCAAGGCCCCCUCCCUCCCACCUAUAUAUACGGAGGUAUUAGGGCUGAUUUGAGACGACUUCUCCACGGCAGCCCGACCACAUACCUCCACGGUUUUUCCUCUAGAUCGCGUUUCUACGGAGCUCGGGCGGAGCCCUGCUGAGACAAGGUCAUCACCAACCUUCGGAGCGCCGUCACGCUACCGGAGAACUCUUCUACCUCUCCGUCUCUCUUGCUGGAUCAAUAAGGCCGAGAUCAUCGUCGAGCUGUACGUGUGCUGAACGCGGAGGUGCCGUCCGUUCGGCACUAGAUCGUGGGACUGAUCGCGGGAUUGUUCGCGGGGCGGAUCGAGGGACGUGAGGACGUUCCACUACAUCAACCGCGUUCUCUAACGCUUCUGUUGUAUGGUCUACAAGGGUACGUAGAUCACUCAUCCCCUCUCGUAGAUGGAAAUCACCAUGAUAGGUCUUCGUGCGCGUAGGAAAUUUUUUGUUUCCCAUGCGACGUUCCCCAACAGUGGCAUCAUGAGCUAGGUUCAUGCGUAGAUGUCUUCUCGAGUAGAACACAAAAGUUUUUGUGGGCGGUGAUGUGCGUUUUGCUGCCCUCCUUAGUCUUUUCUUGAUUCCGCGGUAUUGUUGGAUUGAAGCGGCUUGGACCGACAUUACUCGUACGCUUACGAGAGACUGGUUUCAUCGCUACGAGUAACCCCGUUGCUCAAAGAUGACUGGCAAGUGUCGGUUUCUCCAACUUUACUUGAAUCGGAUUUGACCGAGGAAGUCCUUGGAUGAGGUUAAAUAGCAACUCAUAUAUCUCCGUUGCGGUGUUUGCGUAAGUAAGAUGCGAUCCUACUAGAUACCCAUGGUCACCACGUAAAACAUGCAACAACAAAAUUAGAGGACGUCUAACUUGUUUUUGCAGGGUAUGCUUGUGAUGUGAUAUGGCCAACGAUGUGAUGUGAUAUAUUAGAUGUAUGAGAUGAUCAUGUUGUAAUAGUUAAUAUCGACUUGCACGUCGAUGGUACGGCAACCGGCAGGAGCCAUAGGGUUGUCUUUAUACUAACGUUUGUGCUUGCAGAUGCGUUUACUAUUUUGCUAGGACGUAGCUUUAGUAGUAAUAGCAUGAGUAGCACGACAACCCCGAUGGCAACACGUUGAUGGAGAUCAUGGUGUGACGCCGGUGACAAGAAGAUCGUGCCGGUGCUUUGGUGAUGGAGAUCAAGAAGCACGUGAUGAUGGCCAUAUCAUGUCACUUAUGAAUUGCAUGUGAUGUUAAUCCUUUUAUGCACCUUAUUUUUCUUAGAACGACGGUAGCAUUAUGAUAUGAUCUCUCACUAAAAUUUCAAGACGAAAUUGUGUUCUCCCCGACUGUGCACCGUUGCUACAGUUCGUCGUUUCGAGACACCACGUGAUGAUCGGGUGUGAUAGACUCAACGUUCACAUACAACGGGUGCAAAACAGUUGCGCACGCGGAACACUCGGGUUAAGCUUGACGAGCCUAGCAUGUGCAGACAUGGCCUCGGAACACAUGAGACCGAAAGGUCGAGCAUGAAUCAUAUAGUUGAUAUGAUUAGCAUAGAGAUGCUUACCACUGAAACUAUUCUCGACUCACGUGAUGAUCGGACUUGAGAUAGUGGAUUUGGAUCAUGUACCACUCAAAUGACUAGAGAGAUGUACUUUUUGAGUGGGAGUUCUUAAGUAAUGGUCUAAUGGUCUUUGCGAUUACGAUGUAGCUUGCGCUAUAGCUCUACUGUUUUUAUAUGAUCCUAGAGAAAAUUUAGUUGAAAGUUGAUAGUAGCAAACUUUGCAGACUAAGUCUGUAAAACCGAGGAUUGUCCUCGUUGCUGCACAGAAGGCUUAUGUCCUUAAUGCACCACUCGGUGUGCUGCACCUCGAGCGUCGUCUGUGGAUGCUGUGAACAUCCGACAUACACGUUUCUGAUGACUACACGAUAGUUCAAUACAAAAAUACUUAAUGGCUUAGAAGCAAGGCGCCGAAAACGUUGUAAAACGUCACGGAACAUAAGUGAUGUUCUAAAGAGAUGAAAUUGUGAUUUCAUGCUUGUGCCCUUGUCAAGAGGUACGAGACCUCCGACAAGAUUCUUUGUCCACAAAGUAAAGGAGAAAGGCUCAAUCGUUGAGCAUGUGCUCAGAUUGUCUGAGUACGACAAUCGCUUGAAUCAAGUGGGAGUUAAUCUUCCAGAUGAGAUAGUGAUAGUUCUCCAAAGUCACUGCCACCAAGCUGUGAGAGCUUCGUGAUGAACUAUAACAUAUCAAGGAUACAUACAAUGAUCCUUGAGCGAUUCGCAAUGUUUGACACUGCGAAAGUAGAAAUCAAGAAGGAGCAUCAAUAGUUGAUGGUUUGUAAAACCACUAAGUUUCAAGAAGUGCAAGGGCUAGAAGGGAUACUUCAUGAAACGGCAAAACAGUUGCUGCACUAAUGAAGAGACCCAAGAUUAAACCCAAACCCGAGACUAAGUGCUUCUGUAAUGAGGGGAACAGUCACUGAGGUGGAGCAACUCUAGAUACUUGGUAGAUAAGAAGGCUGGCAAAAGUCGAAAGAAGUGUAUUUGAUAUACAUGAUGUUGAUGUGUACUUUACUAGUACUCCUAGUAGCAUGUGGGUAUUGGAUACCGGUUCGGUUGCUAAGUGAUUAGUAACACUAAAUGUAAGCUACGGAAUAAACGGAGACUAGCUAAAGGUGAGGUGACGAUACGUGUUGGAAGUGUUUCCAAGGUUGAUAUGAUCAAACAUCGCACGCUCCCUCUACCAUCGGGAUUGGUGUUAAAUCUAAAUAAUUGUUAUUUGGUGCUUGCGUUAAGCAUGAACAUGAUUGGAUCGUGUUUAUUGCAAUACGAUUAUUCAUUUAAAGAGAAUAAUGGUUACUCUAUUUUCUUGAAUAAUCACCUUCAAUGGUUUAUUAAAUCUCGAUCGUAGUGUUACACAUGUUCAUGAUAUUUGUGCCAAAAGAUACGAGUUGAUGAUGAUAGUACCACUUACUUGUGGCACUGCCGCUUGAGUCAUGUUAGUAUAAAUUGCAUGAAGAGGCUCCAUGCUGAUGGAUCUUUGUACUCACCUGAUUUCGAAUCACUAGUGACAUGAAAAUCAUACCACAUGAGCAAGGCCUUGUUUUCAUUGAGAUGAAAUAAGAUAGUAACUUGUUGGAAGUGAUACAUUUUGAUGUAUGCAGUCCAAUGGGUGCUGAGGCACGCAGUGGAUAUCAUUAUGUUCUUACUUCACUGACGAUUUGAGUAGAUACAGGAGUAUUUACUUAAUGAAUCACAAGUCUGAAAUGUUCAAAAGUUCAAUUCCGUUUCAGAGUGAAGUUCGUCAUAACAAGAGGAUAAACUGUCUACGAUAUGAUCAUGGAAAUGAAUAUCUGAGUUACGAGUUUUGGUACACAGUUAAGACAAAAGUGGAAAUUGUUUCGUAGUUCAUGCCACCUGGAACAUCAUAGUGUGAUGAUAUGUCUGAACGUCAUAGCCACGCACUAUUUGGUAUUGUGCAUACUAUGAUGUCUCUUAUCGAAUUACCACUAUCGUUUAUGGGUUAUGCAUUAGAGACAACCGCACUCACUUUAAAUAGGGCACCGCGUAUUUCCGUUGAGAUGACACAGUAUAGACUGAGGUUUAGAGAAAUCUAAACUGUCGUUUCUUGAAAGUUUGGGGUUUCGACACUUAUGUGAAAAAGUUUCAGUCUGAUAAGCUCGAACCCAAAGCGGAUAAAUGCAUCUUCAUAGGAUAUCCAAAGCAGUUGGGUACAUCUCCUAUCUCAGAUCCGGAAGCAAAGUGUUUGUUUCUAGAAACGGAUCCUUUCUCGAGGAAAGGUUUCUCUCGAAAGAAUUGAGUCGGAGGGUAGUAGAACUUGAUGAGGUUAUUGAUCCAUCACUUCAACCAGUGUGUAGCACGGCGCAGGAAGUUGUUCACGUGGCGCCUACACCAAUUGAAGUGGAAGCUGAUGAUGAUGAUCAUUGAGCUUCGAAUCAAGUUACUACAAACCUCGUAGGUCGACAAGGUCGCGUACUGUUGCAGAGUAGUACGAUAACCCUGUCUUGGAGGUCAUGUUGUUGAGAAACAGUGAACCUACGAGUUAUGGAGAAAGCGAUGGUGGGCCCAGAUUCCGACAAAUGGCUGGAAGCCAUGAAAUCCGAGAGAGGAUCCAUGUGUGAAAACAAAGUGUAGACUUUGGUAGAACUACUUGAUGGUCAUAGGACUAUUGAGUAAAAAUGGAUCUUUAAAAGAAGACAGACGAUGAUGGUGAUAAGUCACUAUUAAGAAAAGCUCGACUUGUCGCAAAGAUGUUUCCGACAAGAUCAAACUGUUGACUAUGAUGAGUCUUUCUCACUCGUAGCGAUGCUAAAGGUCUGUUGGAAUUAUGUUAGUUGUUGAUGCAUUAUUUAUGAAAUAUUGCACAUAGGAUGUCAAAACAUUGUUUUCUCAACGGUUUCCUUGAGAAAACAUUGUAUGUGAUACAACCAGAAGGUUUUGUCGAUCCUAAAGAUACUAGCAAGUAUGCAAACUCCAGCGAUCCUUCAAUGGACUGGUGCAAGCAUCUCGGAGUUGGAAUAAGCACCUUGAUGAGAUGAUCAAAGAUUUUGGGUGUGUACAAGGUUUAUGAGAAACUUGUAUUUCCAAAGAAGUGAGUGGGAGCACUAUAGAAUUUCUGAUAAGUAUAUGUGGUUGACAUAUUUUGGAUCAGAAGUAAUGUAGAAUUUAUGUAAAGCAUACAAGGUUGUUUGAAAGGAGUUUUCAAAGGAAUACCUGGAUUGCGCUACUUGAACGUUGAGCAUCAAAGAUCUAUGGAGAUAGAUCAAAAGCGCUUAAUGAAAGUUUCAAUAAGAUGCAUGCCUUGACAAGUUUUUGAAUGAGUUCAAAAUAGAUCAGCAAAGAAGGAGUUCUUGGUUGCGUUGUAAGGUGUGAAUUUGAGUAAGACUCAAAACCCGACCACGGUAGAAUAAAGAGAAUAGACGAAGGUCGUCUUCUAUGCCUUAGUCGUAGAAUCUAAAGUAUGCCAUGCUGUGUACCGCACCUCAUGUGUGCCUUGACUCAAAGUCUGUCGAGAGGUACAGAGAGUGAUCCAUGAUUGAAUCACUAGCAGCGGUCAAAAUUUAUCCUUAGUAACUAAUGGACUAAGGAAUUUUUCUCGAUUAUGGAGGUGGUUAAAGAGUUCGUCGUAAAGGGUUACGUUGAUGCAAGCUUUGACACUAAUCCGAAUAACUAUGAGUAGUGAAACGGAUUCGUAUAGUAGAGUAGAUAUUUGGAGCAGUUCCGAAUAGCACGUAGUAGCAGCAUCUAUAAGAUGACAUAAAGAUUUGUAAAGAACACACCGAUCUGAAAGUUUCAGAACCGUUGACUAAAACCUCUCUCACGAGCAAGACGUGAUCAGGCCCCAAAACUAUAUGGGUGUUGGAUUCGUUGGAAUCACAUGGUGAUGUGAACUAGAUUAUUGACUCUAGUGCAAGUGGGAGACNNNNNNNNNNNNNNNNNNNNNNNNNNNNNNNNNNNNNNNNNNNNNNNNNNNNNNNNNNNNNNNNNNNNNNNNNNNNNNNNNNNNNNNNNNNNNNNNNNNNNCUACCGCGCACCUGAAACCGGCGCGCUCACCGUGGCCAACCCGCUCAGCGGCGUCUCCCGGGCGCUCCCGCCGCCGCCUCCGGCCGCCGCACCAGACGCGCUCUACGCCGUGGCCAUGUACGGGUCACCCUACCGCGUGGUCCUCAUCCUGGGCGACCUUCCGCACCUGUCCAUGACGUUGUUCGACUCCUCCAAGAACGCCUGGGAGGACGCCGUGCCUCUGUCGCGGAAGACAGAGGCCUCGCCCGCGGACGUGCAAGCGCCGCACGACGACGGCGACGACGACAUUGACGAGGACAUGGACGGCGACGGCGACGGCGCGGUCUAUUACCUGAGCAAGUCCGGCGACGUGAUGGUGUCCAGCACGCAGCGCAGCGCGUCGAGGCAGUACUCGUCCGCCGUGACGUGCCGCAGCGACGGCGGCGAGGCCGUGGCCUACUUCCUGAGCCACUCGGGCGCGGUGGUGGCGUGCGACCUGGCGCGCCGCGUGUUCUCGGAGCUCCCGCGGAUCCUGCCGGUGCACUCCGAGUACUCGAUCGACGUGGUGGCCUGCGACGGCCGGGCCUACGUUGUGGUCCUCUCGGAGUACCUGGACACGGCGAGCCUGCGCGUGUGGGAGUUCUCCGACGGCGCGUGGCGGCAGGUGGCCGCGAUGCCCCCGGCCAUGUCGCACGCCUUGUACGGCAAGAAGGCGGACGUGAACUGCGUCGGGCACGGCGGGCGCGUGAUGGUCUGCGUCAGCUCCGGCGACGCGGACGCCAACGGGUGCUUCAUGUGCGACGUGGGAAGCAACGCGUGGGAGGAGCUGCCGCGGUGCGCCGGCGGCGACGGCGAGGCCAUGGACUUCGUGGCCGCCUUCUCCUUCGAGCCGAGAAUGGAGGUCGCCGUCUGACCGGAUCCCCCCGCCGUUGCUUCCGAUUGAUGUGCGUAGCGUACGUAGUAGUAGUAGUAGUGCUAGUAGGAUGAUUUGUUGCAUUGCAGUAAUUCGGGAGAUGUUUUCCAUGGAGAUCAAAUCACCCGUCUGUCUCCUGGGAUGUGCGCAUGUGUCGCCAAUUCUGUAGUAGUAGAUGCCACCGGCUUCCGUUGUUUUUCUUGAUUCCCGUGCCGACGGCAGAGCUCAGUGGCGACUGGCGACUGACUGCUCUUCUCUUCUUUCCUUAACAAGCAAUUGACCAUUCCAUGCGUCAUAGGACAUCUUUUAUUAUAUUUUUUUCAUCUUCAGACCAUGGAGUUGAAAAGAAACACUGUUACACUCUCCUGCUGAAAGCACAUGAACCAGAACCGGCCAGCUGAGGUACCGGCGCGUUCUGCCAAAUUUUAGCAUCUCUUCUUAAACAAAUACUAGCAACACAUCAAGAUGAAGCAAAUAACACCGAGAUGCGUGCAACAACCCUGGUUAUGUUUAUCCACUGUAUUGUCCAAGGAACUAAACGAGUUGAGUUUGAUUAGGAGAGAAAAAGGAAAAGGGAUUGGAGGAAACGGAGAGAGCACUAUAGAAUAGAAGAGGAAGAGCGGGGGGGGAGUGAGAUCCUUUGUCUUUGGCGCAGCGCAAGUGCGCGCCCACCCAACCCGUCCAUGCAACAGCGAAAGCGAGCGAGAGCCUUUGCUUCCCAGGCAGGGUGGGGGGCAGCGCGGCCGGCCGCCACUGACACGGUGUCUCUCGCUCGCCGUCAGACCUCGGCUCGCCGCGAGACACGACGGCCGGCCGGCCCGCUGGCUAAAGUCGCCGGCAGCCGAAUCCCCACGGGGAUACCGUCUGCCUCCUACCUGCCCCCGGCGCCGCCCUCUGCUUGCUUGCUUGGAUUCCUUCAGCAGGGCGAAGGAAAAGAAGACGGGACGGGGCGGGGCGAGAUCUGGGCGCGGGGCAUGCGUCGCUCGCGCGCUAGGCUGGCACUGCGUGCGCGCCUAGCGUACGUACGUACGUACGUGCGUGUUGGCUCGCUUUUGCUCCUCCACGGCUUUGCUUUGGGCCGCGGCUGCGCGCCGGAGGCCGCUUUAGCCGCAAGUGCAAACCAAAGCUCCUCCAAAGCGUGCUUACGCAGCUUUAGUGGCUAAAACGGCAUUCUUUUUUUUUCCUUCUUCUGCCUCUAACCACCAACACCAGUGACAGCGAGCGCCUGUUCACCGCAGUAACCCGCUCCCGUGCGCCUGUUCCCGGUCCCCGGUCCCUCCCUCCAGCGUCCAGCGCCACCGAUCGGGAUCUCGAUCUCGGGCUCGCGUGGGCGUGAAUUACUACCGCGAUCCAUGGGCCGGCAACGCAUGCACGUAGUAGAUGCGCAUGAUUUUACCCGGUUCCGUUCUGGAUCGAGCGAGCGGGCGUGGCGUGGCGUGGGGUGGACUUUGGCGGUGUGUGGGGGCGGGGGACCGGGAAUCAUGACGCCACGCAAAGGAAAAUGAUGGAGCGGUUGACAAGGCGACGGCGGGGGUCGGGGGGGUUUAUCAUCCGUCAUCCGCCACCGUAUCAUUGCGCUUACAUCUCGCGGCCACCCAUCCAGGGACACGCAGAACCGCAAAAGCCACCGCGUUUUUCCGCCCUUUUCCUCUUCCGUUUUGGCCUUAGAGCUGCUGGGCGUGCAGAGCCGCAAUCAUCCACGGCUAAACCUAGCGUCACCGCUGACUUGUGGACUCUCUACUCUAAGGCCUGUUUGAAUUAUGAUAAUCUGGAUUAUGAAGAUAAAUUAUAUGAUCUGGUUUAUAAAAAUAAUGUAGGUGAACAUGUUUGGAGGCCAGAUUAUAUAAACUAUAAUCUAGGUUUUACAUUGCAUAAUGACCUGUCUAUCCUCUGUUUUAUUUUAAAAGAGGAGGGUAGCGGUGGUAGAAAUGUUAUUAUCUCCAACUUUACAAGGGUGGGUCAUUAGCAAUCUAUAAACUGAUUUUAGCUGGUAUAGAGUAGAUUAUGAGUUUUUAAUAAUUUAUCCAUCUAGUUUCUAUAAUCUACACUAUAAGUUGUCCUAUUUGAAAACAUAAUAGAUUAUAAAAACUGGAUUAUAUAAUCUAGGUGGUUUCAAACAGGGCCUAAGCUAGGCUCUUUCCGUGGUGGUAACUAACAUUUGACAGGCAGACAAUCUCAGUCUGAAUCUACCGUUGGGGGUGAGAUGUAAUGACAACAUGAUGCUGCUGCUUCAUCAAGCGUUGAGGCAGGACAGGCUGCUGCUGGUCCAGGACGGUGGCCGCUUUUGGGCCCAUCGGUGUAAUGUAUGCCGCUGUGGCCUGUGGGUGGACCAAACCCACAACAAGUGGGUGGCCACUCAAGUCACAUGCGAUUUUUUCUACCCGUCUACUGGAGAGUGUCUCGGUCCCUGGAAAAAUACAGUAUCAUUGCUCUUUUAACACCGCGCUCAUUGCUCCUUUUAUGCGGUUAAACGUGCAUUUACAUUUACAGGUUUUAAAGUAUGCCGUGUCGCAAGAAAUAAACAAAAAAAGGUUUCAAAGUAUGAUCAUCAAAGCCUCGGACAAGGAUGCGUUCGCUUUCGUAACAACGGCUCCUAGUCCUAGGAAAAUCGUCCUAUGUAAACUGAUAGGCCCGCUGAUUAAACAUCCAGUAUCAGUUCUGAUUUUAUAACAUGGUGUGCGUGCAGUGUAUCUUUUACAAGUAGCAUGGUCCAGGAGCAAUGAAGAAACUCCAACACCGAUCAAAGAACCGAACAUGUACACAGUAAGAUUUUCCCCCAUAACAUUACCCAGGCAGGGAUGCGCUGCCGAUGCAACAUCUCAGUUGGCAUCAAGGUUUAGUGAAAUCCUGCAUCUGCCAUGCCCUAAGAACAAGGCAAAAAGCACAUGGUUUUGCAAAUAUACAAUUCUCGAGAUUUUGUACGGUUUGAUUCAAGGCCUGCAUGUAACAGAAGCUUGGGCAAGUUAGGUUGGUUCAUCCGUUGAAACGGGGGUGGCACGACUGCAUCAUCUUUAUUAUUUUGACAAAGUUUUGAAUUGCCCGUUUAAUCUCAUCCGCUUUCAGUUGUAGUACUGGUGGGUGCUUCAUCACAGCUAACAUCACAGUAUUCCUCCAUGAAUUUCUCAUGGAAUUCCUUGAAUCUGGAUAUGAUUGCAGGGAUUUUGUCCUCCUGUGGCAAGAUCGUGCAUCUGAAGUGAUACGUUCCAGGAGC
rnacentral:lncRNA from 1 species